rnacentral:rRNA from 1 species
GAUGAACGCUGGCGGCGUGCCUAAUACAUGCAAGUCGAGCGAACGGACGAGAAGCUUGCUUCUCUGAUGUUAGCGGCGGACGGGUGAGUAACACGUGGAUAACCUACCUAUAAGACUGGGAUAACUUCGGGAAACCGGAGCUAAUACCGGAUAAUAUUUUGAACCGCAUGGUUCAAAAGUGAAAGACGGUCUUGCUGUCACUUAUAGAUGGAUCCGCGCUGCAUUAGCUAGUUGGUAAGGUAACGGCUUACCAAGGCAACGAUGCAUAGCCGACCUGAGAGAGUGAUCGGCCACACUGGAACUGAGACACGGUCCAGGCUCCUACGGGAGGCAGCAGUAGGGAAUCUUCCGCAAUGGGCGAAAGCCUGACGGAGCAACGCCGCGUGAGUGAUGAAGGUCUUCGGAUCGUAAAACUCUGUUAUUAGGGAAGAACAUAUGUGUAAGUAACUGUGCACAUCUUGACGGUACCUAAUCAGAAAGCCACGGCUAACUACGUG